AUUGAACGCUGGCGGCAGGCCUAACACAUGCAAGUCGAACGAGUGGCGGACGGGUGAGUAAUGUCUGGGAAACUGCCUGAUGGAGGGGGAUAACUACUGGAAACGUUAGCUAAUACCGCAUACCAUCAGAUGUGCCCAGAUGGGAUUAGCUAGUAGGUGGGGUAAAGGCUCACCUAGGCCACGAUCCCUAGCUGGUCUGAGAGGUUGACCAGCCACACUGGACUUGAGCCACGGUCCAGAUUCCUACGGGAGGCAGAAGGGGGGAAUAUCGCACAAUGGGGGCAAGCCGGAUGCAGCCAGGCCGCGUGGAUGAAGAAGGCCUUCGGUUUGUAAAGUACUUUCAGCGGGGCGGCGGUACCCGCAUAAGAAGCACCGGCUAACUCCGUGCCAGCCGCCGCGGUAAUAC
rnacentral:rRNA from 1 species